rnacentral:rRNA from 1 species
ACUCAAAGGAAUAGACGGGGGCCCGCACAAGCAGCGGAGCAUGUGGCUUAAUUCGACGCAACGCGAAGAACCUUACCAAGGCUUGACAUCACCCGGAAACGUCUGGAGACAGGCGCCCCCUUGUGGUCGGGUGGCAGGUGGUGCAUGGCUGUCGUCAGCUCGUGUCGUGAGAUGUUGGGUUAAGUCCCGCAACGAGCGCAACCCUUGUUCUGUGUUGCCAGCAUGCCCUUCGGGGUGAUGGGGACUCACGGGAGACUGCCGGGGUCAACUCGGAGGAAGGUGGGGACGACGUCAAGUCAUCAUGCCCCUUAUGUCUUGGGCUGCACACGUGCUACAAUGGCCGGUACAAAGAGCUGCGAGGCCGUGAGGCGGAGCGAAUCUCAAAAAGCCGGUCUCAGUUCGGAUUGGGGUCUGCAACUCGACCCCAUGAAGUCGGAGUUGCUAGUAAUCGCAGAUCAGCAGUGCUGCGGUGAAUACGUUCCCGGGCCUUGUACACACCGCCCGU